rnacentral:rRNA from 1 species
AGUGAACGCUGGCGGUAGGCCUAACACAUGCAAGUCGAACGGCAGCACAGUAAGAUCUUGCUCUUACGGGUGGCGAGUGGCGGACGGGUGAGGAAUACAUCGGAAUCUACUUUUUCGUGGGGGAUAACGUAGGGAAACUUACGCUAAUACCGCAUACGACCUACGGGUGAAAGCAGUGGAUCUUCGGACCUUGCGCGAUUGAAUGAGCCGAUGUCGGAUUAGCUAGUUGGCGGGGUAAAGGCCCACCAAGGCGACGAUCCGUAGCUGGUCUGAGAGGAUGAUCAGCCACACUGGAACUGAGACACGGUCAAGGCUCCUACGGGAGGCAGCAGUGGGGAAUAUUGGACAAUGGGCGCAAGCAUGAUCCAGCCAUACCGCGUGGGUGAAGAAGGCCUUCGGGUUGUAAAGCCCUUUUGUUGGGAAAGAAAAGCAGCAGGUUAAUACCCCGCUGUUCUGACGGUACCCAAAGAAUAAGCACCGGCUAACUUCGUG